rnacentral:lncRNA from 1 species
UCAAGAUCUAACUAGAUCUAGUGUGAUUCAAUCUCAAAACUUCCUUUCAAGAUUCACCCCUUCAAGUUUUCUCAAGAAAGAUCAAAUUUUCUAGGUUGCUUGGUGAUUUCUUCCACAAAUCCACAAAAAGCAAGAUUGAUUGUGUCCCUUCUCUCUUGGUUGCUCUCUCUCUCUCUCUCUCUUUCUCGGUCCUCUCUCUCUCUCGGCCCUCAACAAGAAAAGAAGAAAAAGAAGAAGAAAAAUUGUGCUGGUUGAUGGGUUUUCAAGUGAUCUUCAAGAGCAAGAUGGAGGAGGAAAUGGAGAGCUCUCAAGUCUCCCUC